UGGAUAGCUCUGAAGAACUGAAGUCCUCUGUUUAUCGAUAGGACAGUGACAACUCAAGCAGCAGCCAUGCAAGCUUCCCUGUACUACCUCCAUCAGUGUGUCUCAACCUUGACAUGGAAGUGCCACCAAUAAGAGUGAGAAAUUAAGUCAUCCUCUAUUCAGUCCUUGGAGUCU
ensembl:misc_RNA